AUUAGUAUAUCAUUGUAGUUCUGAGGGGUUCAUUUGGGGUUAUGUUGGAAAAGAAGGGAAAGGGUAAACACUAUUUGGUGCAAUCCUCACUGUUUCGCUUCUUUGCGUUUUGGAAUUUCAGUGUGGAAUGGCGCGCGAACAACACACGCCGACGCGACCGUGGAUCCAGGAUGCAGUGCCUUUGUUAGUGGUUCUUCUAAUAGCAGCUCAUGUCCUAGCUAUGAUAUAUUGGAUUUAUAGAUUAGCCACCCAGAAACAGGUGCAGCAUAGGAGAAAGACUCACUGAAGGAGGAGAAGGUUCAUUGGUGAACCCUAAUUUACCUCCUACGAAAUAUUUAGCAGCUAUAAAAUGUCCUUAAUCUUGGUUUUAUAGGCCUUGUUUGAUAACGAUCAAAGCAUUUACAAUUUUAAUUAGUGCAAAUGGAUUCAAUUCAUACGCAUAGCGUUGGUUAAUCACAUGAUUUUUUGUGGUCUCUUUUAGAGCUUGCUUUGAAUUUAGUAAGUGUAUUGGUUUUUUUAUUUUUA